GAUGAACGCUGGCGGCGUGCCUAAUACAUGCAAGUCGAGCGAACUGAUUAGAAGCUUGCUUCUAUGACGUUAGCGGCGGACGGGUGAGUAACACGUGGGCAACCUGCCUGUAAGACUGGGAUAACUUCGGGAAACCGAAGCUAAUACCGGAUAGGAUCUUCUCCUUCAUGGGAGAUGAUUGGAAGAUGGUUUCGGCUAUCACUUACAGAUGGGCCCGCGGUGCAUUAGCUAGUUGGUGAGGUAACGGCUCACCAAGGCAACGAUGCGUAGCCGACCGGAGAGGAGGACCGGCGAAACUGGGACUGAGACACGGCCCAGACUCCUACGGGAGGCAGCAGUAGGGAAUCUUCCGCAAUGGACGAAAGUCUGACGGAGCAACGCCGCGUGAGUGAUGUAGGCUUUCGGGUCGUAAAACUCUGUUGUUAGGGAAGAACAAGUACGAGAGUAACUGCUCGUACCUUGACGGUACCUAACCAGAAAGCCACGGCUAACUACGUGCCAGCCGCCGCCGGUAAUAC
rnacentral:rRNA from 1 species